GAGAGGGGUCACCGUGACAGCAAGGACUGCUAAUUCUAGCUCCUUUGGUUAAAAUCCAGAGUCCGCUCGAAUGAG
rnacentral:tRNA from 1 species